rnacentral:misc_RNA from 1 species
AACCUUAUGGACCUGCGGGCGUAUACCUGCGGAAGGAUCAUUACACAUAUAAAAUAUACCUGGGAAAAUUCGAAAGAAAAGUACUCAGGCGUAUUCUUAUACCCAUGUCUUUUGCGUACUACUUGUUUCCUUGGUAGGCUUGCCUGCCAUUAGGACACCCACAAAAACCUUUUGUAAUUGCAAUCAGCGUCAGAAAAUAACUUAAUAGUUACAACUUUCAACAACGGAUCUCAGAUCGGA